rnacentral:rRNA from 1 species
AUUGAACGCUGGCGGCAGGCCUAACACAUGCAAGUCGAGCGGUGCGGCGGACGGGUGAGUAAUGCCUAGUAUUCUGCCUGGUAGCGGGGGAUAACGUCUGGAAACGGGCGCUAAUAACGCAUACUACCAGAUGAUCCUAGGUCGGAUUAGCUAGUUGGUGGGGUAAAGGCCUACCAAGGCGACGAUCCGUAACCGGUCUGAGAGGAUGAUCAGCCACACUGGAACUGAGACACGGUCCAGACUCCUACGGGAGGCAGCAGUGGGGAAUAUUGGACAAUGGGCGAAAGCCUGAUCCAGCCAUGCCGCGUGUGUGAAGAAGGUCUUCGGAUUGUAAAGCACUUUUAGUUGGGAAGCGUUACCAACAGAAUAAGCACCGGCUAACUUCGUGCCAGCCGCCGCGGUAAUUC